AGCGAACGCUGGCGGCAGGCUUAACACAUGCAAGUCGAGCGGGCACUUUCGGGUGUCAGCGGCGGACGGGUGAGUAACGCGUGGGAACGUGCCCUCUGGUUCGGAAUAACUCAGGGAAACUUGAGCUAAUACCGGAUACGCCCUUUUGGGGAAAGGCUUGCUGCCGGAGGAUCGGCCCGCGUCUGAUUAGCUAGUUGGUGAGGUAACGGCUCACCAAGGCGACGAUCAGUAGCUGGUCUGAGAGGAUGAUCAGCCACACUGGGACUGAGACACGGCCCAGACUCCUACGGGAGGCAGCAGUGGAGAAUAUUGGACAAUGGGCGCAAGCCUGAUCCAGCCAUGCCGCGUGAGUGAUGAAGGCCUUAGGGUUGUAAAGCUCUUUUAUCCGGGACGAUAAUGACGGUACCGGAGGAAUAAGCCCCGGCUAACUUCGUG
rnacentral:rRNA from 1 species